GAAACUGGAAACUCUGGCCUGUCGGCUACUUUUGCUCGUACCAGCAGGUGUGCACUGCCGCGUCAAUCUCCAACAAAGCCGGAAAAGCAGCCUGGCGCAUGUGCAAAGGAAGUCCCUCCUACCACUACCGAGCCGAGAUGACCAAUGGGAGACGGCCAUCUGCGCCUGCGCAAAAAAGUCGCCAAUGUUCAUUUCCGGUCUUUUUCGCCCCGCCCUUCAAAUGCGAAAGCGACUGCCUUCUUGGAACACUCAAAACUAGCAUCUGAUGAAUGCCUACAUUCAGUCCACAAAGCAACAAUCUUAUAAGCUGCUCGUCGGGCAUGAUGGCUCACACCUGUAAUUCCAGCACUCUGGGAGGCCAAGGCAGGUGGAUCGCCGGAGCUCCGGAAUUCAAGAUCAGCCUGGCCAACAGGGGAAAACUCCGUUUCUACUAAAAAUACAAAAAUUAGCUGGGUGUGGUGGCACUCACCUGUAAUCCUAGCUACUAGGAAGGCUGAGGCAGGAGAAUCGCUUGAACCCAGGAGGCGGAGGUUGCAGUGAGCCGACAGUGCCACUGCACUCCAGCCUGGGCAACAGAGAGACUCCAUCUCAAUCAGUCAAUCACUAAGCUGCUACCAAGGGAGCCAUUUAAGUCUUGAGCUGCUACAGCUCCUCCCUUUAACAAGAAUACCAUAGUACUUUAGAAGAUACCUGCCUCUACUAAAUUUGGCACUUCAUUCUCAGACAUACCACUCUUUCAAUUCUGAUCCAAUUCUACUAUUAAGACAUCUAAACUAAAAAGGGCAAGAGUGAGUUAUUAAACUUGGGCUCAAGUUCUACAAGUAACCUAUAUUACCCAAGAUAUUUCUGACAAGUAGCUCCAGAGUAGGUUGAAGCAAGGAUUUCUAUUGCCUCAAGCCUCGACUAUGCCUACUUCUUAUAUCCCAGGAUUGUUUUUCAGCAAAAAGAAAUGGGAGAGUUAUAAAGAAUUAAAUACACAUCUAAUUAUGACACCAAGGACAAUUUCCUAAGGACUGGAACUAAACAUUCUUAUUUGGUAAGAUCGUCUCUCACUUACUUUUCCCCUCAAAGGCAGCUAAUCUUUUACUCUAGGUAAUAUGUGGGAGGUUAUAAAGUGAUAGACACAAUAAUAAUUUUUCUUUAACUUACAAUAUGCUGCCUGAUUGGUACUUACUUGAUCUGUUCAGCUGAUCCUCCAGAAGUUGCAUUUGUGAUGGCCCAAGCUGCUUCUUUUCUUGUCCGAAAUUCAGCAGUUUGUAAAAUACUAAUGAGGGCUGGGAAAAUGUUGGCAUCUAUCACAGUCUAAAAUUAAAGAAAAACUUAAAUGGAAAAAACUGUGAGAUUUAUAAAAAUAUUCAUGAUACUAAUUAUAAUUUCUAAGCUAGUUUGACUAUUAACACCCCUUCUCCUGUCAGAAAUAAAUUGAAAAGAGUUAUGUCAUUAUCUCUAACCUUUUUUUUUCUUUUUUGAGAUGGAGUCUCACUCUGUUGCCCAGGCUGGAGUGCAGUGGUGCAAUCUCAGCUCACUGCAGCUUCCACCUCCUGGGUUCAAGUGAUUCUCCUGCCUCAGCCUCCCGGGUAGCUGGGACUACAGGUGCACACCACCAAACCCGGCUAAUUUUUGUACUUUUAGUAGAGACAGGGCUUCACCAUGUUGGCCAGGCUGGCCUUGAACUCCUGACCUCAGGUGAUCCACCCACCUCGGCCUCCCAAAGUGCAGGGAUUACAGGUGGGAGCCACCGCACCCAGCCUAUCCCUAAUCCUUAUUCUGUCUUGGUAUCACUGAAAACAUCUUCCCUGGAGUUUAUGAUCUUAUAAUCUCCUAUUUUCUCUGAGUUCUUUUCUCUUUCACUUUCCUCUUUUGUUCUGCCCACAGUAACAAAUUGUUAAGAGCUCAAUUUUCUGCUCCUCUGCUAUUCCAUUCUCUCAUAGCAUGUGAACUUCCAUGUGCGAAAACUCUCUAGUCCUCACUUCUCACUGGAGCAUCAGCCCAGGGUAGCCAGCAGUUUACGUUAGGUCUGCUAGUCAUCUCAAACACAUCAUCUGCCCGCUAUAUCAAGUUUCCUUUUAAACCCCUCUAGUUCACAAAGGCUAUUAAUUUACAUUCUCAAUUUUUAAAAUCCUGAGUCCAUCUUUUUCCUUUCCUUUGGCAUUGCCAUGCUAUUCUCCAAGCCACCACCUCCCAGAUUACCAAAAUAAGACUUAUAGUUGGAUGGAGUACUUUUACUCAAUCCCCUUCAUGUACUAACACUAAAGUAGCCUUCCCAAAAUUACUUUCUCCCUGUUUCUUCCUGGCUCAAGUACCUAACAUGGGUUUAUAUCAUUUCCUACAUUAAGAAACUGAGAAGUUCUGCAUAAAAAAGCCUGGUGGUGACAGGCAAUCAAAUACAGAUGAAAUCACCUCAUAUGAAUGCUAUAGAUUGUUAUAGCUAUUAAUCUCAGUUCCUAAUUCAGCAUUUUGGGGACAAAAUGCUUUCCUGGUCAAAAACUCUUAUUAUACCUGUGAAGGACGUCAACAAAGUUUGACAAAGUUGAUUACUGGAAAGACACCUAAUCCCGGUCCUGUCAUUUUACUAGAGGUGCUCUUGAGCAAAUCAUUUUAAUUCCAUGAGCCGUUUCAUCUUUUUAUUCAAAUUUUUUAUUGACAAAUAAUAAUUGUAUAUAUUUAUGGGAUACAAUGUAAUGGAUGCUUCAAUACACACACACAAACACACACACACAAAAUUGUGGUAAAUGAAAACCUUGGAUUAGAUGAUCUCUCUGUUUCCAUUCAUCUCCAAGGCCCUCUAUGUCUGUGUUAUAUCUUUUCCUACCCACUGUUCCAUCCUUGAACAUUGCCCAGGCUGAACACUUUGGCCCACUGCUUGUCGUCCACUUGAGUUACUCUCCCACCAAUACAAAGACAAAAGUAAAAACCAAGUAACUAUUUAAAGAAAAAUGGGUAUCCAAAAAUUCAUGAAAAUUUGAGGCAAUCUACAUGGGUCCACUGGAAAAAUAAAUAUCUUACUUGGAAAGCGUUAAAGCCAAUCGUGCUCAGCAUAAAGCCCAUCAAAACAUUUUGAAAAUACAAGACAUUAUUUGUUGCAAGAAGUCAGGGACCCUGAAUGGAGGGACCAUGAAGCCUGGCAGAAGGACAUAAAUUGUGAAGAUUUCAUGGACAUUUAUUAGUUCCCCCAAAUUAAUACUUUUAUCAUUUCUUACACCUGUCUUUACUGCAGUCUCUGAACAUAAACUGUGAAGAUUUCAUGGACAUUUAUCACCUCCCCAAUCAAUACUCUUAUAAUUUCCUAUGCCUAUCUUUACUUUAAUCUCUUAAUCCCGUCAUCUUCAUUAAGCUGAGGAUGUAUGUCGCCUCAGGACCCUGUGAUGAUUGCAUCAUAAAGCAUGUGUGUUUAAACAAUAUGAAAUCUGGGCACCUUGAAAAAAGAAGAGGAUAACAGCGAUGUUCAGGGAACAAGGGAGAUAACCAUCAGGUCUGACUGCCUGAGAGCUAGGCGGAACAGAGCUAUUAUUUCUCUUCUUACAAAAGUGAAUAGGAGAAAUAUUACUGAAUUCUUUUUCUCAGCAAGGAACAGUCAUGAGAAAGAGAAUGCGUUCCUAGGGGGAGGUCUCUAAAAUGGCCACUCUGGGACUGUCUGUCUUAUAUGGUUGUGGAUAAGGGAUGAAAUAAACCCCGGUCUCCCUUAGCGCUCCCAGGCCUAUUAGGACGAGGAAAUUCCCGCCUAGUAAAUUUUAGUCAGACUGGUUGUCUGUUCUCAAACCCUGUCUCCUGAUAAGAUGUUAUCGAUGACAAUGCAUGCCUGAAACCUCAUUAGCAAUUUUAAUUUCGCCCCGUGCUCUGCCAUUUGCCUUGUGAUAUUUUAUUGCCUUGUGAAGUAUGUGAUCUCUGUGACCCACAACCUAUUCGUACACUCCCUCCCCUUUGAAAAUCACUAAUAAAAACCUGCUGGUUUUGCAGCUUGGGGGGCAUCACGGAACGUGCCGAUAUGUGAUGUCUCCCCCAGACAGCCAGCUUUAAAAUUUCUCUUGUACUCUUUCCCUUUAUUUCUCAGACCGGCCGACACUUAGGGAAAACAGAAAAGAACCUACAUGAAACACUGGAGGUGGUUCCCCUGAUAACUAUUUCUUGGGUCUUGGUGAAACAUCAAAUAUUAACGGCAACAGAAAAAAUGAAGGCUUAAGUGUAAAUUUCAAAAGACUUAACAUCUAUAAGCUAGGAUAAAGUAAAAAGCUGACUAUGAAAUAAGACAACAACAUUGAAAGUGGUCUUCAAAGCAAUAAUGAAAACGAUAUACGUUUUAUUUUGUUUUGAGAUGGAGUCUUGCUCUGUCACCCAGGAUGGAGUACAGUGGCACAAUCUCGGCUCACUACAACCUCUACCUCCACGGUUCAAGUAAUUCUCCUCCCUCAGCCUCCCGCGUAGCUGGGACUACAGGCACCUGCCACUGCGACUGGCUAAUUUUUUUGUAUUUUUAGUAGAGACAAGGUUUCAGCAUGUUGACCAGGAUAGUCUUGAACUCCUGACCGCAAGUGAUCCACGGGCCUCAGCCUCCCAGAGUGCUGGGAUUACAGGCAGGAGCCACCGCACCCAGCCAAAAACAAAUGUGUUUUAAAGGGUGACUGAGAAAAAAACCUUACUUUUCAAUAAAAAUACUGAAAGAGAAGUUAGGUCCUAUGAGGUUACCUGGAUCUGUGCCCUAUUUCCAGCUGUAAUAUUAGAUAUCGUCCAACAUGCUUCCUUUUUGAUAGAUUCCUUUGGGCUACUCAGCAAAUG
rnacentral:lncRNA from 10 species